rnacentral:lncRNA from 1 species
AUGGGUGCGGGGACCACGGGGCCCGACGGCGGCACCGAGGCGCUGGCGCUGGACGCGGUGCUGGGCACGCUGCUGGCUGUGCUGCUGCUGCUGGCGGUCAAGGCAGCCGCGGAGCAGCUGCGGCGGCGGCGCGCCGGUGUGGCGGUGCUCGUGGUGGGCGCCGGGCCGGUGGGGCUGACGGCUGCGCUUGUCGCUGUCCGCACCGGCCGGGUGCUGAAGCUGACCGUGCAGGACGCGCGCGCGCGGGGCCCGCUGCUGGGACGCCCGCAGCAGAUUGCGCUGGACCCGCGCAGCGUCCGCUUCCUCAGGCCGCUGGGAGUGGACUUCGACAAUGUGGAGGGCUGCUGGCGCAACGGCCACUUUUUCACCAGGGUCGGCGUCUUCCAGGAGCACCUGCUCAGCCUCCUGGAAAGGAAGGGGCAGCGGCCUGGCUUCUGUCUUCUCCUGGGCACCAAGUUUACAGAUGACUUUAUGAGGAAGGUGGUGGUGCCAGACUGGCCCAAAAUCAUUGUGGUGGCUGAUGGCUCCCAUGGGGAGACCUGCUCUGUGCUGGGGCUCAGUCCAGAUUAUGUGGUGGAAUCCUGCAAUGCUUAUGGAGCUAAUGCUACCAUCACAAGACUGGAUCAGAGACAGAUCUCUGAUUUUCCCUGGACACCAAUUUUAGCAAUGUAUCCUACCCAAGCUCUCCGAGUGGUCCUCUCUUAUUACCUACUGAACAUCAUCUGGGAGCAGUGUUUCUCAGGUUCCCACACCAGAAAUCCGAGCCCACAACCUCUACCUGGAUCUCUCUGCUUAUGGGAUCGAGGUCACCUCUGUAGCAAAGGAAGCCCCAAGCUUGCCUCAAGCGGUUGA